rnacentral:rRNA from 2 species
AGAGUUUGAUCCUGGCUCAGAUUGAACGCUGGCGGCAGGCUUAACACAUGCAAGUCUAGCGGUAGCACCAGGGGAGCUUGCUACCCCGGGUGACGAGCGGCGGACGGGUGAGUAAUGUCUGGGAAAUGCCUGAUGGAGGGGGAUAACUACUGGAAACGGUAGCUAAUACCGCAUAACGUCGCAAGACCAAAGAGGGGGACCUUCGGGCCUCUUGCCAUCAGAUGUGCCCAGAUGGGAUUACUAGUAGGUGGGGUAAUGGCUCACCUAGGCGACGAUCCCUAGCUGGUCUGAGAGGAUGACCAGCCACACUGGAACUGAGACACGGUCCAGACUCCUACGGGAGGCAGCAGUGGGGAAUAUUGCACAAUGGGCCAAGCCUGAUGCAGCCAUGCCGCGUGUGUGAAGAAGGCCUUCGGGUUGUAAAGCACUUUCAGCGAGGAGGAAGGUGGUGAACUUAAUACGUUCAUCAAAUUGACGUACUCGCAGAA